GCCAGGCAGGGCAAAGCUCCCCCCUUGGUCCUGCCCAUUGCGGCGCGUAGGGCGGCGGCGGGCGCGUUUGCAGGGGCUGUUUCCUGACCGCUCCCCAGCUACUGCAUAGGCUGGGGUCGCCAGCUGUCUGCACUAGUGCGCUCCCCAGACGCACUACGGCCCUGUCCGCAGGACAAAGUUGCACUCCAGCUGAAAUGUGGGUUCUUCAAAAAGCGAUUCCAGUACCGUUUUAGUGCAGUUCUCGCCGGCUUCCUGUGAAUAUACAGGGCCUGAACUUGCUCCCAUUGUAGAUGUGCAAGGCUUACUUAAGCACAUUGUCUGACAGAAGUGAAUGGGACAACUCACAUGAGUACAGCUUAUGGAUCCAGUUCUCAUUGGCUCCAAAUCCAAAUAAAAUGGUUUAUCUGAAAUAACUUUCCUCCAUGAAGAAAAGGAGACAAGCUGAACAAAUGCAGUCCAGCUGCACCAGAAGCUGAACUGUGGACACAUUCUAUAGUGAGAGCUCAAGCAGGACAAAGGAUAGAAUUUUUCAAAUGCAAGGUGGUGCCAGAGAAAACUCCCAUGUAAGCUCAAUAAGGCUAGCAUUUCAUCCUGAGAGCUUGCAUAGGAUACAAGGCUGGAGUGUUGAGUUACUGGAUAUUAGAUGCUUACAUCUUAAAGCAGGAAGUCGAAAGCGGGGGUGAGCCGAGCGCGUCGGCGCCUCCAAGACAGGGACGGUGAAAUGGAUCCCGCCCAGGUGCUGGAAUGGAUGAAAGAAACCCAACGGGAGAGCCAGCAGCAGCAGACCGUGCUGAUCCAGCAGCUGUCCACACAACAUCAAGAGCAGCAAAGGCAGCUGAUAAAAGAGCUGGCCGAACAAUUUAGGGAGCAAGUCCGGAUGUCGGUGCCCCUGAGGCUGGGCACCGCCGCCCAGGAGGAGGACCCCGAUGAGGAUGGGGGGGCCGUACCACGCCCGAGUAUCAGACUAACAAAAAUGGGGGCCGACGACGAUCCGGAGGCAUAUUUGAUAACGUUCGAGCGGGUGGCCACCGCAGCUAGGUGGCUGGAGACCCACUGGGCCACCAUUUUGGCCCCUUAUCUGACUGGCCAGGCCCAGCUGGUCUACCGGAGUUUGAGCGACAGAGACGCGCUACACUACUAUAAGCUGAAAGAAGCUAUUUUGGACCAGAUGGGUAUUACCCCCGAAAUGUAUUGGCAAAAGUUUAGGGGUGAGCACUACAAUCCAGGGACCCGGCCCUGGGUCGUAGCCCAGCGGUUGAGAGAGGCCGCUUGGAGAUGGCUGGACCCCGAACAACGCACCGGGCAGUAAGUGGCCGAGCUGGUGGUUCUGGAGCAAUUUAUCAACAUCCUGCCUAGUGGGGGCUCCCACUGGGUACGACGACACCACCCCUCCACGUUGAGCGAAGCGGUCGAAUUAAUGAAUGACUACGAAGCCACCAAGGGGUGGGAGAGAGGCAACAGGACGGAACAGCCACCGCCACCCAGGAAAGCUGAACCGGGGAGAAGCCCCCGCGCUAAGGGGAGCCCCGAGAGGAGCGAUAGGUGGGGGACCGGAAGAGGCAUAGCACGACGACCAUUGGCACCGGCAUGGUCCCUCCCGUCCAAGGAAGGACCCCGAGAGACAGUCGGCCAUUCGCCCGAGGCCGGGGCGAACCCCCCGAAACCCGCUGCGCCCAGGUGGCCAUUCUUUCGGUGCAGGCAGGAAGGACACCUCAUCAAAGACUGCCCCUUUAUGGACUGCUCUUAUGCCCAGGUGUUAGCGGGGGAUGGGACACCCGCCAAAGAAGGAACAACGGGAAGUCCCCACGUUGCGCCAUGCUUGGGCCACGGCGCGAGAGGAGACCGAGGAGGAAGGGGCAACGGCGGAAGGACCGGUGGGCCCGCGCUUUGAGGUACACGCUGACCGCUUAUAUAGGGUAGAUGAAGGGGGGGAGGAGCAGACACCCCGGCGGCAACUUCUCGUGCCCUGCCGGUACCGGCACUGCCUUAUGGAGGUGGCCCAUGCCAACCCCUGGGCGGGUCACCUGGGGCAGGAAAAAACAGUAAAGCGACUAUUACAUCGCUUCUACUGGCCCGGGGUGUAUCGCGAAGUGCGAGACUUUUGCGAGUCAUGCCCUGAAUGCCAGAAGGCGGGACCCCGUAAUGUGCCAAAGGCCCCCCUGGUGCCCCUCCCGAUAAUAGACAUGCCCUUUGAAAGGAUAGCUAUGGACAUAGUAGGGCCCCUAGACAAGUCAAGGACGGGCCAUCAAUACAUCUUGGUCGUAUUGGACUACGCCACGCGGUAUCCGGAGGCCGUGCUCCUCUGGAAUACGAACGCCUCCACCCUGGCAACAGAAUUGAUGAAGUUGUUUGCCCGCGUCGGACUGCCCAAGGAGAUACUGACCGAUCAAGGUACAAAUUUUACAUCUCGGGUAAUGGCGGAAUUAUGCCGCCUGCUCCAAAUUAAAAGUAUACGGACUUCAGUGUACCAUCCCUAGACCGAUGGUCUGGUUGAACGUUUUAAUCGGACACUGAAGGGUAUGUUACGGAGAUUCACAGAACAGGACCCUAGGGACUGGGACACUCUGUUACCCGCGUUAUUGUUUGCGGUACGGGAAGCCCCCCAAGCGUCCACAGGGUUCUUGCCUUUUGAAUUAUUGUAUGGACGGCAACCGAGGGGUAUUCUCGAUGUAAUCAAGGAAAGGUGGGAGGACCAGGAGACCCGGGUACGGGGGUCGGUACAAUAUAUCCUAAAAUUGAGGCAAAAGUUGCGGACCCUAGCGGAUGUGGCUAGGAACAACCUAGAAAGUGCUCAGGAAACCCAAGCCCUAUAUUAUAACCGGGGAGCACGCCUCAGAGUUUUCGAGCCAGGGCAGCGGGUCCUGCUAUUACUCCCGACCCCGGGUUCAAAACUGGUAGCUAAGUGGCAGGGGCCCUUUGAAGUGGUGAGACGCGUCGGGGAGGUCAAUUACGAGGUCAAGUUAACGGGAAGGUCGGGAGGUACCAAGGUGUACCAUGUAAACUUAUUAAAGGCCUGGAAAGAACGGGAGACAUUGUUUAUAAACCCCCUCCCCCGGACCCAGAGCUGGGUCCAGGAGAGGAGGGCCAGGCCACCCCAGGUCUCUUGCAGAUGGGAGCUGACCUCACCCCUGAACAACAGACGGACCUGGAGAACUUGCUGAGCCACUUCCCGGACGUGAUGACAGACAAACCAGGUCACACCGCUCUGGCCCACCACCACAUCGAAACCGAGUCACAAAAGAAGGUUCGUCCCCUGCCCCAAAAGAUGUGGGAGCUGGUGAAGGAGGAACUGCAGAAGAUGAUCCAAUGGGGUGUGGUGGAAGAGUCGUACAGUGAGUGGCGUAGUCCUAUAGUUCUAGUGCCGAAGCCUGACGGGUCGAUGAGGUUCUGUAUAGAUUUCCGCAAAGUGA